UGUCUUGGGAGUGCAAAUAUAUCUGCUCAGCAUUCCUGGGAGGUUUGUGCAGGAGUUUAAGCUGAUACAGAAGACUAUUAAAAUGGUGAUGGAGCAGAAACGCCAUUCAUCAUCCCAGAGUGGAGAUUGUAGGCCGCGUUGGAUGUUCAGCAGCAAGCCCUCUCGUGCACUCUGUAGGGCCAUGGAAGCCUUUCAAUAAAAGGUGGAAAGGUGGACGUUAUUUACUCUGUUUUGGUGGUCCUGAGCAAAGGAGGAUGUGCUGAUGUGGAAAAAAAAGACAGUGUAAGACACAGCAGCCUUGAGUGAAUUUCAACUUUCAACCUGACUGCAUGGUACUGCCUGCAAAGCAGUGGGAAGAUCAAACAGCCAGCUGCUCAACAUUGGUCACUGCCUUCAGAGAACGAUGAACACAUCAGCACGGCUGAGCACUGCUGUAGAUCACCCAGCACACACAGAGGCCAGGGGAGAUCCUGCACUCCAGUCCCACAUCCAUCAGCAGCAUCAGCCCCACAUCGUCAGCAGCAGCACAUCCUGCUCCUUUGCCAUGGAGGGCAGCUGAUUUUUGUGGUCACCAGGGAAUGGGAGACGCAUGGCAGCAGUUGGGACAGCACAGCCACAUGCAUCUGGUCCGCGGCUGUGGCAUGCUCAUGAGUGAGAUGCACUCUCAGGUACAAAGGGCAGCAG